AAAAAUAAAUGUGAAAAUGGUGCACAUUGCAAUCGUAUUGGAUCCUACUUAUUUUGUGACUGUCCUCCAGGAUAUUUUGGACAUCGAUGUGAAAAAUUCAAAGAUAAAGGUGAAUACAGUCCAAUAUUAUUCAUAUUACUAUGCAUCACAUCUGGAUUUCUUUUGAUAUCUACAAUCACUCUAGUCACUGUUUUCAUAAAAUUUAGAAGCAGAAGAAAUAAGUUAUAAAAGAAAAUAUUUAUUGUCUCUCUCAAAUCAUG